GAAAAUCCGUCGACUUUAUAAAU
rnacentral:tRNA from 7 species